rnacentral:snRNA from 1 species
GGAUGUGAGGGCGAUCUGGCUGCGACAUCUGUCACCCCAUUGAUCGCCAGGGUUGAUUCGGCUGAUCUGGCUGGCUAGGCGGGUGUCCCCUUCCUCCCUCAACGCUCCAUGUGCGUCCCUCCCGAAGCUGCGCGCUCGGUCGAAGAGGACGACCACCCCCGAUAGAGGAGGACCGUUCCUCGGUCAAGGGUAUACGAGUAGCUGCGCUCCCCUGCUAGAACCUCCAAACAAGCUCUCAAGGUCCAUUUGUAGGAGAACGUAGGGUAGUCAAGCUUCCAAGACUCCAGACACAUCCAAAUGAGGCGCUGCACGUGGCAGUCUGCCUUUCUUU